UGAAAACACAAAGGCGAAGGCGGCGGAGCAGUGGAAGUUGAACUCGCGUCAGCACUCACAUCCAGAUUCUGCAGGCAGUACCAGCAGAAGGUGUGUUUGCAGCUCUUACACAGCAUCUGCGCGCAGCCCUGGUUCCUCUCGAUGUAUAUGCCGCACAUAGGACACUGCUUGAUGGGCGUUUCAGAGAGGCUGUCGGAGCGCGCCCUGUGGACGGAGAGAUAUCGGAAACCUCUAAGGAGCGUUUGCACUUGGGGACUUUGGACUCAUAACCAGAUUCACAUCUACAAGCACACUGCGGGGACCACAGGCUGCUGCUGCUCCUGUUCAGUGGACCGACUGGGCGCGGUGCCCAUCCUUCACCUCCCUUUGGCACAGGGACGGUGGAAUUCCGACACAACUCAAAGGGACUCUGCGCUGACGUCAGUCGGCGAGGCGGAGCGGCGCGGCAGCCUAACGGUACAACAGGGACGACGCGCUGAAGGGCACUGCUGAGGAAUACUGCGCUAUUAAUAUCCAGAAGUAACGUUUGUUUCAAGACUCCGCCGGGAGACGGGGAACACAUUACUUUUUUUUAUGACCGUCAGUUGCUUUUAGAUUCAAGUGAAGGACGAGAUUCUCCACGUGAAAAUAAUAUAAUGGAUUUUUAUUUAUUUUAGAAAGGGGAGGAAUAAGAAUGAACUUUUACAGUUUCAUUU